rnacentral:rRNA from 1 species
GAUGAACGCUGGCGGCGUGCCUAAUACAUGCAAGUCGAGCGAACAGACGAGGAGCUUGCUCCUCUGACGUUAGCGGCGGACGGGUGAGUAACACGUGGAUAACCUACCUAUAAGACUGGGAUAACUUCGGGAAACCGGCGCUAAUCCCGUAUAAUAUAUUGAACCGCAUGGUUCAAUAGUGAAAGACGGUUUUGCUGUCACUUAUAGAUGGAUCCGCGCCGCAUUAGCUAGUUGGUAAGGUAACGGCUUACCAAGGCGACGAUGCGUAGCCGACCUGAGAGAGUGAUCGGCCACACUGGAAGGGAGACAGGGACCAGGCGCCUACGGGAGGGAGCAGAAGGGAAUCUUCCGCAAUGGGCGAGAGCCUGACGGAGCGGCGGGGCGCGAGUGGUGGAGGUCUUGGGAGCGGAAAGCUCGGUUAUGAGGGAAGAACAAAUGUGUAAGUAACUAUGCAGGUCUUGACGGUACCUAGUCAGAAAGCCACGGCUAACUACGUG